rnacentral:rRNA from 1 species
UACGAAGGGGGCUAGCGUUGCUCGGACUCACUGGGCGUAAAGGGCGCGUAGGCGGCGUUUUAAGUCGGGGGUGAAAGCCUGUGGCUCAACCACAGAAUGGCCUUCGAUACUGGGACGCUUGAGUAUGGUAGAGGUUGGUGGAACUGCGAGUGUAGAGGUGAAAUUCGUAGAUAUUCGCAAGAACACCAGUGGCGAAGGCGGCUCACUGGUCCGGUACUGACGCUGAGGUGCGAAAGCGUGGGGAGCAAACAGG